AUACUCUGGUUUCUCUUCAGAACGCACAAAUCUUUCGCCUUUUACUAAAGAUUUCCGUGGAGAGGAGCAUAACUGAGUUUUUUUUGAAUUUUUGUACACCCUGGCUUGCUGGGGUU